rnacentral:rRNA from 1 species
GAUGAACGCUAGCGGCAGGCUUAAUACAUGCAAGUCGAACGGCAGCACAGUAAGAGCUUGCUCUUAUGGGUGGCGAGUGGCGGACGGGUGAGGAAUACAUCGGAAUCUACCUUUUCGUGGGGGAUAACGUAGGGAAACUUACGCUAAUACCGCAUACGACCUUCGGGUGAAAGCAGGGGACCUUCGGGCCUUGCGCGGAU